GUGAAGUGCAUGCUGCAGUAAACAGCCAGCCGAGUCAACUGAACAAAGUUUUCCAUCCAGAAAGUUUUGUAGAGUGCAUGGACUUGGUUUCAAAGCCUAAUUCCACAGCGCCGGUGUGGGAAUAUUUCAGACUGAAGUCAAAUGAGUGAGGAGAACCAAAAGUGAAUGA